GAACGCUAUCUUCAGUCACGUAGACAGAUUUUACGCGAAAUUAUCUUAUCUAAGAUACACAAUUUUCUACGAAAACAAACAGUUUUUUCCGAUUAAAAAUGCAUCCUUAUCUCUAGAAUAUUACAUCAUCUUUUAUAAAAAUAAACGAAGUACGCAAUAAAUCUAAUAUAUGUGAACUGUCACCUACGCAAACUCGUUUUGUGUAUAACCCUAAGGAAACCUGUCUUAUUGUACCAUGAGGGAACCGACCAGAUUAAUUAAAAUGAAUUGAAAUGAACAUCGGAUUAGUAAUAAAACUACCCGUAUUCACUUCUGGACUGGAUCUAAACCUCAACGUCCAACCCGACAAUGUUUACAUAGCAUAUAUUAGGCCUAUACAUGAGAAUCCUGGUUCUUAAACGUCGCUCUACGACACGAACGCUACAUACACCUGUGGAAAUCGGUGCCUGAAUAAGCAUCAUUUAAAUUAAUCAAAUUGUUACAUUAAUCUUAGAUCAUGUCAUCAGAAAUCCGAUGAACCAGUACAACAUAUGGAUAGUUGCAGAUAGUUGAACGCGCUAUAGUUGGGGUAACGUAGCCACUUAUGCCACCGCGUUCAUAGACAUAACCGCGCCGCGUUUCUGUUUCCGUCACAGACCGACUCGCAGUCUAUUUCCGUUCUGCCACGCCAUGCGAUUUGUGUUUUUCAUUUGGAUUCGUUCAAUAAAUAAAGGUGUUUUAUUUAUGAUACGUUCAGUUGCACACGUGAAGUGAAAACGACUAUGAUUAUAACAACAAAUGUGCAUAGCCGGUGUUGUAAGAUGAUUUAUGUGUGUUUAAGAUUUAAUUGGUUGGACAAGUUAUCAUAAUUUAACCAUUCGUAUUCGGCACCCACAUGACGUACGAGAAGUAUGUCAUUAAGGGACCAGUAAUUUAUUACAGCAAACUUUGCUACUAUUAAAUGCGACCUGGAUAAUCGCCUCUUGUCAGAACUUGUGGCAAUGGAUUACGGAUAAGUGAGGAACAGCCGACAAAAAUUGCGCUGCUCAGAGUCACCUAUUAUUACUCCAUGAAAUCGACUGAGUUGACCAAGAAAAACGCCACAGGCUCUGGGAUCCUAACCCGGCCCCAUUACUGUCAUAUCUUCACUCUCCACCUCUUGUGGUAUUUAUAGAGCAAGUUCCAAAAUAAAGA